rnacentral:rRNA from 1 species
UGGGGAAUUUUGGACAAUGGGCGAAAGCCUGAUCCAGCGACGCCGCGUGAGGGACGAAGCCCUUCGGGGUGUAAACCUCUGUUGUGAGGGACGAAUAAGAUCUGGAGGAAAUGCCAGAUCGAUGACGGUACCUCACGAGAAAGCCCCGGCUAACUACGUGCCAGCAGCCGCGGUAAUACGUAGGGGGCGAGCGUUACCCGGAUUCACUGGGCGUAAAGGGGGCGCAGGCGAUCCAGUAUGUCGGGUGUGAAAUCCCACAGCUCAACUGUGGAAUUGCGCCCGAAACUACUGGGUUUGGGGCUGGUAGAGGGAGACGGAACUGCUGGUGUAGGGGUGAAAUCCGUAGAUAUCAGCAGGAACGCCGGUGGGGAAGCCGGUCUCCUGGGCCAAGCCCGACGCUGAGGCCCGAAAGCUAGGGGAGCAAACCGGAUUAGAUACCCGGGUASUCCUAGCCGUAAACGAUGCCCACUAGGUGUGGGGGAGUCAUUCCUCCGUGCUGUAGCUAACSCGUUAA